rnacentral:rRNA from 1 species
UACGUAGGGUGCGAGCGUUAAUCGGAAUUACUGGGCGUAAAGCGUGCGCAGGCGGUUUUGUAAGCCAGAUGUGAAAUCCCCGGGCUUAACCUGGGAAUGGCAUUUGGGACUGCAAGGCUUGAGUUUGGCAGAGGAGACUGGAAUUCCUGGUGUAGCAGUGAAAUGCGUAGAUAUCAGGAGGAAUACCGAUGGCGAAGGCAGCUCGCUGGGACGUUACUGACGCUGAGACGCGAAAGCGUGGGGAGCAAACAGG